rnacentral:tRNA from 1 species
AGGAUUAUAGUUUAUUAAAACAUUUGAAUUGCAAUCAAAAAAUAUUGAAAAAUCAAUUUAUCUUA